rnacentral:rRNA from 1 species
UACGGAGGGGGCUAGCGUUGUUCGGAAUUACUGGGCGUAAAGCGCACGUAGGACGGCUUUGUUAAGUUAGAGGUGAAAGCCCAGGGCUUAACCCUUGGAAUUGCCUUUAAGACUGCAUCGCUAGAAUUUGUGGAGAGUAAGUGGAAUCCGAAGUGUAGAGGUGAAAUUCCGUAGAAUAUUCGGAAGAACACCAGUGGCGAAGGCGGCUCACUGGACUGGGUAUUGACGCUGAGGUGCGAAAAGCGUGGGGAGCAAACAGG